GAAUGUAUAGAUCGGUGGUAGAGCACGUGCUUAGCAUGCAUGAGGUCCUGGGUUCAAUUCCCAGUACCUCCU
rnacentral:tRNA from 1 species